rnacentral:rRNA from 1 species
AGGGUUUCCGUAGGUGACCUGCGGAGGAUCAUUAGUGAUUUGCCUUCGGGCUAAACUAUAUCCAUACAGUCAAAGGGAACUGUUGAUUGACUUCGGUCAAUAUUUUUACUAAAAAGGGUAAUGAACGUCAUGUUAUAAUAACAAAUAUAACUUUCAACAACGGAUCUCUUGGCUCUCGCAUCGCCUGAAGAACGCAGCGAAAUGCGAUAAGUAAUGUGAAUUGCAGAAUUCAGUGAAUCAUCGAAUCUUUGAACGCAACUUGCGCUCUCUGGUAUUCCGGAGAGCAUGCCUGUUUGAGUGUCAUGAAAUCUCAACCAUUAGGGUUUCUUAAUGGCUUGGAUUUGGACGUUUGCCAGUCAAAUGGCUCGUCUUAAAAGAGUUAGUGAAUUUAACAUUUGUCUUCUGGGGUAAUAAGUUUCGCUGGGCUGAUAGUGUGAAGUUUGCUUCUAAUCGUCCGCAAGGACAAUUCUUGAACUCUGGCCUCAAAUCAGGUAGGACUACCCGCUGAACUUAAGCAUAUCAAUAAGCGGAGGAAAAGAAACUAACAAGGAUUCCCCUAGUAACGGCGAGUGAAGCGGGAAGAGCUCAAAUUUGUAAUCUGGCAGUCUUCCAUUGUCCGAGUUGUAAUCUAUAGAAGUGUUUUUCGUGCCGGACCAUGUCUAAGUCCCUUGGAAUAGGGUAUCAAAGAGGGUGACAAUCCCCUACUUGAUAUGACACCGGUGCUCUGUGAUACACUUUCUACCAGCGAGGUGUUUGGGAUGCAGCUCAAAAUGGGUGGUAAAUUCCCUCUAAAGCUAAAUAUUGGCGAGAGACCGAUAGCGAACAGUACCGUGAGGGGAAGGAUGAAAAGACCUUCGGAAGAAAGUUAAACCAGUACCUGAAAUUGUUGAAAGGAAACAAUUGAAAUAAUUCUUG